rnacentral:lncRNA from 1 species
AGUGCUGGGGAGCGUUAUCUGUCCACUAAACUGUUUGAAUCCCUUAGGCACGAGGCACAGAAUAUGCCCUUUCAUUAACAUCAUGUUGGUUCCUUCCUGAAAUGUAAUGGUACAAGCAGUACCAUACUUAGAUUAAUUCUUUGUUUUCUAGCACAAGCCCUGAAUGGGAUGUGUUAUUAUUGCUGAAAUAUGUAUUUGUAAGUAAUUAUGGACUUAUCCAGGUUAGGGCUCCAUCAUCCAAUAUGCAAUGAGAAGUGAACGGGUUGUCGAAGCCCUUCAAAAUAAAUUACUGAUUUUCUUAAACUAAUUUGUAAAAAAAGUGAAACCAGGUCGAAUCCCAAGAGAACCAAUGUGAAUAACGGGUUGUCGAAGCCCUUCAAAAUAAAUUACUGAUUUUCUUAAACUAAUUUGUAAAAAAAGUGAAACCAGGUCGAAUCCCAAGAGAACCAAUGUGAAUAGCUUCUCAAAGUAAAUUAAAA